UUCUCUGUUGCAUUUUCAGAAGAUAGCUCCAUAUUUGAAUCAGGCAAAGAGGCUUGGAAAGGGAAGCUUUGAGAGAUACACACUAAGGCAACCUUUUACAACUGCUGGUCUCUACUAGAUGGCUUUAGCAUGCUUCCCUUCUAGAGCCAAAAAUAGUUUUCCAGUGUCUGCCAGGCAAUUCAAUCAGCUUGAUCUUUGAUCGGUGAAUCAUCUAGUAUUGAAGUUCAUUGCAGCGUCCCAGUAGCUGAAAGAAAAAAGAGUUGCAGAAAGUCUCACAGGCAACAUGAAAGAUCAGUGAAGAUUACAAUUA